GGACGAGGUCGAGAAACAGAGUAGGGUAACCUGCCUGUAAGACUGGGAUAACUCCGGGAAACCGGGGCUAAUACCGGAUGGUUGUCUGAACCGCAUGGUUCAGACAUAAAAGGUGGCUUCGGCUACCACUUACAGAUGGACCCGCGGCGCAUUAGCUAGUUGGUGAGGUAACGGCUCACCAAGGCGACGAUGCGUAGCCGACCUGAGAGGGUGAUCGGCCACACUGGGACUGAGACACGGCCCAGACUCCUACGGGAGGCAGCAGUAGGGAAUCUUCCGCAAUGGACGAAAGUCUGACGGAGCAACGCCGCGUGAGUGAUGAAGGUUUUCGGAUCGUAAAGCUCUGUUGUUAGGGAAGAACAAGUGCCGUUCAAAUAGGGCGGCACCUUGACGGUACCUAACCAGAAAGCCACGGCUAACUACGUGCCAGCAGCCGCGGUAAUACGUAGGUGGCAAGCGUUGUCCGGAAUUAUUGGGCGUAAAGGGCUCGCAGGCGGUUUCUUAAGUCUGAUGUGAAAGCCCCCGGCUCAACCGGGGAGGGUCAUUGGAAACUGGGGAACUUGAGUGCAGAAGAGGAGAGUGGAAUUCCACGUGUAGCGGUGAAAUGCGUAGAGAUGUGGAGGAACACCAGUGGCGAAGGCGACUCUCUGGUCUGUAACUGACGCUGAGGAGCGAAAGCGUGGGGAGCGAACAGGGAUUAGAUACCCUGGGUAGUCCACGCCGUAAACGAUGAGUGCUAAGUGUUAGGGGGUUUCCGCCCCCUUUAGUGCUGCAGCUUACGCAAUUAUGCACUCGCUGGGGGAGUACGGUCGCCAGGACUGAAACCUCAAAGGAUUGACCG
rnacentral:rRNA from 1 species